UCUUGACUCCGCCCAGCUGCGCCACCUGGAAGCUACAAAUCUUCAGCAUUCUUCACUCUGUGAAGUCAGAGAAAUGGAGGCACCAUAGCUCUGAGCUCAUUGGCAAAUACAACUAAUUUCAAUUUCUGGAAUGGAAGCAGUCAGAUAUUCUUCUGACUGCACGCGUAUGUGGGAGGGCCAUGUCGAAGAGUGGAAAAUAUGGAAGAUCAGUCCCUACAAACUUAAUAGGAGAAUGACAUUCAGAUUUCCCAAGUAUUUUGCAUGUCCAGCUGAAAACUGAAGUAGGUUUAUGAGAGAAUGCACGCCUACCUGGAUGGGUCUGGGGAGUGUGUCACUGUCACCACAGAUAAUUGACAAGGGCUGAUCAAAUAGCGAUGCUUUCAAGUCUGUCUCCAAAGCCCCAGAAAAAUCUGAUGCAGGGGAGAGCCUUCUCAUGAGAAAGGGCCAGGACAGCACCUUCUUUCUCUUCUUAACUUCUACAGCCAAGAAAACAAGGCAACGAGAAAAAUUAGACUACAGUGUUAAUAAGCAAAGAUCCAGGUGACAACCUGCACGCCAGACAGAUGCAACUUCUGUUCGAAUCUGUA
rnacentral:antisense_RNA from 1 species